UAGAAAUCUAAUACAUCAUGGAAGAGAAAUUAUUUAGGAAAUCUUCUCAUUCCUAUAAGGGAGAGCUUUCAUAUGUAACCUUAAAGGCUCACUGACGGCCUAGCAAAUAAUCAGUUUUGGAAAAUGUCUCCUAUACACUCGAAAAAAUGGUGUCCAGUAGACCUGCCGAGCACCAGGAGGCUGGGACAAGCACCCACUGCCACAGGCUUCCCAACCUGAAUCCCGCCUGGGUUUGAAGAUGAUGUCUUCGGAGGGGUGGCCGAGCUUCUAGGCUGGCCUUCUAGGCUGGCUCGCCCAGUCCCACUCCUGCUUGGAUCCUGACGGCUGUGUCCUGUGGCUUGCCCCCUCCCCUCCGCAACCUCCACUUCUCUGAGAGGCGGUGAGAUUUCUGUCCACCUGCGGGGCUGCUCUUUUUCUCAUGCAACAGUGAACCUUCUCCAGGGAGGGCAAGAAGCGAGCCACUU